GAUGAACGCUGGCGGCGUGCCUAAUACAUGCAAGUCGAGCGAACAGGCGAGGAGCUUGCUCCUCUGACGUUAGCGGCGGACGGGUGAGUGACACGUGGAUAACCUACCUAUAAGACUGGGAUAACUUCGGGAAACCGGAGCUAAUACCGGAUAAUAUAUUGAACCGCAUGGUUCAAUAGUGAAAGACGGUUUUGCUGUCACUUAUAGAUGGAUCCGCGCCGCAUUAGCUAGUUGGUAAGGUAACGGCUUACCAAGGCAACGAUGCGUAGCCGACCUGAGAGGGUGAUCGGCCACACUGGAACUGAGACACGGUCCAGACUCCUACGGGAGGCAGCAGUAGGGAAUCUUCCGCAAUGGGCGAAAGCCUGACGGAGCAACGCCGCGUGAGUGAUGAAGGUCUUCGGAUCGUAAAACUCUGUUAUUAGGGAAGAACAAAUGUGUAAGUAACUAUGCACGUCUUGACGGUACCUAAUCAGAAAGCCACGGCUAACUACGUG
rnacentral:rRNA from 1 species